rnacentral:rRNA from 1 species
GACGAACGCUGGCGGCGUGCUUAACACAUGCAAGUCGAACGGAAAGGCCCUGCGUUUGUGGGGUGCUCGAGUGGCGAACGGGUGAGUAACACGUGAGUAUCCUGCCCUUGACUUUGGGAUAACUUCAGGAAACUGGGGCUAAUACCGGAUAGGAUCUCCUGCUGCAUGGUGGUGGUUGGAAAGUUUCGGCGGUUGUGGAUGGACUCGCGGCUUAUCAGCUUGAUGGUGAGGUAGUGGCUUACCAAGGCUGUGACGGGUAGCCGGCCUGAGAGGGUGACCGGCCACAUUGGGACUGAGAUACGCACCAGACGGCAAUCGUAGGCAGUAGUGGGGAGUAUUGCACAACGGGCGGAAGCGUGAGGCAGCAACGCCGCGUGCGGGAUGACCUCCUUCUGGGUGUAAACCGAUUUGGACUGUGACGAAGCCUGAUUGACGGUAAUGGGUAAAGAAGCCCCGGCUAACUACGUG